AUUUUGAAUUUGAAAGUUAACGGUGAAGUUUUAUUUGAACGGAACGGACAUUUUCCUUGAGUUUAUUCUCCUUUUCUUCACCCCCAUACCCUGAAACCUGCAAAACUUUCCUCUGCGCCUUCCAUAAAGAAGAUUGUGCAUGAUUUCCUCUGGUGAGCUUGGACAGUUUAUAUGCCACAUUUGGAAUGUUAUUAAGCUGUGUGCCUUUGCCCUGUUCAACGAUGAAGGAUCAAAGGUUUUUACAGGAUUUUUUUCUCUCACGGGCCGAUCCAGCGGAGUAGUGGGCGUUGAAAGCAAAUCCUCAGGUUUCUCUUCUCUGAAUUCUUCAGCCAUAUCGGGAUUCGAACCUGUGACUUAAGGAUCAAAGGUUUUUACAGGAUUUUUUUCUCUCACGGGCCGAUCCAGCGGAGUAGUGGGCGUUGAAAGCAAAUCCUUAGGUUUCUCUUCUCUGAAUUCUUCAGCCAUAUCGGGAUUCGAACCUGUGACUUAAGGUUCAAACCCUGGAAUUAAAUACCUUUUAUAGCUUCGUUCAACAAAUCGGCAUCAAAUCUGGACAUACAUGUUUGAAUUCAAAAUUUUUUUUCACAUUCUGGCUGGUAAAAGAUGAAGAGGCAAAACGGAGGAUCAGAAAAUAGCAACCAAAUGAGAUCAAAUUCCUUUGAGGUAUUUUGCAAAUAAAAAUGGAGGUAGAUGGAAAUGUCUGUUGCGUACUGUGAACAUUUUGAAUUUGAAAGUUAACGGUGA